CCUACGGGUGGCAGCAGUGAGGAAUAUUGGUCAAUGGGCGUAAGCCUGAACCAGCCAAGUCGCGUGAGGGAUGAAGGUUCUAUGGAUCGUAAACCUCUUUUAUAAGGGAGUAAAGUGUGGGACGUGUCCUAUUUUGUAUGUACCUUAUGAAUAAGGCACCGCUAACGCCGUGCCAGCCGCCCGGGUAAUACGGAGGAUCCGAGCGUUAUCCGGAUUUAUUGGGGUUAAAGGGUGCGUAGGCGGCCUUUUAAGUCAGCGGGGAAAGUCUGUGGGUCAACCAUAGAAUUGCCGUUGAAACUGGGUGGCUUGAGUAUGUUAGAGGCAGGCGGAAUGCGUGGUGUAGCGGUGAAAUGCAUAGAUAUCACGCAGAACCCCGAUUGCGAAGGCAGCCUGCCAGGCCAUGACUGACGCUGAGGCACGAAAGCGUGGGGAUCAAACAGGAUUAGAUACCCCUGUAGUC
rnacentral:rRNA from 1 species